AGCAAACAUAAAAUUAUUCGUAAUAAAUUAAAGAAAAUUCUCAUUUUGAUAAAGUAUUUUAUAAAAAAUAACUAAUCUUAACAAACCGCAAGGGUUAACCCUUAGCUCUCUAAAGAAAUGGUAACUCCACGUCCCUUCUGCAUCAUGGAGAAGCAACAAAAGCUAGUAAUCCAUACUCCCGAAUGAUUAUGAGCUACUAACCUUUCAAAAUUAAUGUUUCAUAAUUAAUUAUAGUAAUUUUUAGUAGAAGUAACAAGCCUUUCAUAUAAUCAUAUAGCUGGUUUUUUUCUAAAAGCAUCACAGUGCUAGCCCAUAGCUAAAUACACUCCUUUAUAUUAUGAGGCUUACUUUACUGAGGAUUAGCUCAGUAAAGCCUAUAGAAAUAUUCUAAUUAAUAUUACCAUAAGUAGGCUUAAAAGCAGCCAACCAAUAACGUUUUAGUUACUGAAAUUAAAAUUUAAUAUUAAACUCUAUUUAAUACUUCUAAACCUAAAGAAAUUUAACAAAAAACCUAUUUGUUAUUAAACAGGCAUUCUAUUAGUAUUUACAUAUAAAAACUACUUAGCACUAUUAAAAGUAAUAAGUCAUAAACCUACUAUAUUCUCAAAUACAUAAAGUGAACUCGGCAAAUUAGUUCCCUGCCUGUUUACCAAAAACAUCGUCUUUUGAAUCUCCAAGAUAAAAGAUAAUGCC
rnacentral:rRNA from 1 species